CAUGCAAGUCGAGCGGUAGAGAGAAGCUUGCUUCUCUUGAGAGCGGCGGACGGGUGAGUAAAGCCUAGGAAUCUGCCUGGUAGUGGGGGAUAACGUUCGGAAACGGACGCUAAUACCGCAUACGUCCUACGGGAGAAAGCAGGGGACCUUCGGGCCUUGCGCUAUCAGAUGAGCCUAGGUCGGAUUAGCUAGUUGGUGAGGUAAUGGCUCACCAAGGCGACGAUCCGUAACUGGUCUGAGAGGAUGAUCAGUCACACUGGAACUGAGACACGGUCCAGACUCCUACGGGAGGCAGCAGUGGGGAAUAUUGGACAAUGGGCGAAAGCCUGAUCCAGCCAUGCCGCGUGUGUGAAGAAGGUCUUCGGAUUGUAAAGCACUUUAAGUUGGGAGGAAGGGCAUUAACCUAAUACGUUAGUGUUUUGACGUUACCGACAGAAUAAGCACCGGCUAACUCUGUGCCAGCAGCCGCGGUAAUACAGAGGGUGCAAGCGUUAAUCGGAAUUACUGGGGCGUAAAGCGCGCGUAGGGUGGUUUGUUAAGUUGGAUGUGAAAUCCCCGGGCUCAACCUGGGAACUGCAUUCAAAACUGACUGACUAGAGUAUGGUAGAGGGUGGUUGGAAUUUCCUGUGUAGCGGUGAAAUGCGUAGAUAUAGGAAGGAACACAGUGGCGAAGGCGACCACCUUGGACUAUACUGACACUGGAGGUGCGAAGCGUGGGGGAGCAACAGGAUUAAGAUACCCUGGUAGUCCACGCCGUAAA
rnacentral:rRNA from 1 species